GACGAACGCUGGCGGCGUGCUUAACACAUGCAAGUCGAACGGUAAGGCCUUCGGGUACACGAGUGGCGAACGGGUGAGUAACACGUGGGUGAUCUGCCCCCUACUCUGGGAUAAGCCUGGGAAACUGGGUCUAAUACCGGAUAUGACCUUGGGCUUCAUGGUUCUUGGUGGAAAGUUUUUUCGGUAGGGGAUGAGCCCGCGGCCUAUCAGCUUGUUGGUGGGGUAAUGGCCUACCAAGGCGACGACGGGUAGCCGGCCUGAGAGGGCGACCGGCCACACUGGGACUGAGACACGGCCCAGACUCCUACGGGAGGCAGCAGUGGGGAAUAUUGCACAAUGGGCGAAAGCCUGAUGCAGCGACGCCGCGUGGGGGAUGACGGCCUUCGGGUUGUAAACCCCUUUCAGUCGGGACGAAGCGAGAGUGACGGUACCGAUAGAAGAAGCACCGGCCAACUACGUGCCAGCCGCCGCCGUAACAC
rnacentral:rRNA from 1 species